rnacentral:rRNA from 1 species
GACGAACGCUGGCGGCGUGCUUAACACAUGCAAGUCACGGGUGUCCCGCAAGGGAUAACCGGCGAACGGGUGCGUAACACGUGAACAACCUGCCCUCGUGUGGGGGAUAGCCAUGCUAACGCGUGGGUAAUACCGCAUACGGUCCUUUGGGGGAGGUCCCUGGGGGAAGGAAAGCUCCGGCGCACGGGGAGGGGUUCGCGGCCUAUCAGCUUGUUGGUGGGGUAAUGGCCUACCAAGGCAACGACGGGUAGCUGGCUGAGAGGAUGUCCAGCCACACUGGGACUGAGACACGGCCCAGACUCCUACGGGAGGCAGCAGUUAGGAAUCUUGCGCAAUGGGCGAAA